rnacentral:rRNA from 1 species
GCGAAUGGCUCAUUAAAUCAGUUAUAAUUUAUUUGAUCGUUUCUACUACUGGAAUAACCGUAGUAAUUCUAGAGCUAAUGCCUGCACUAAAGCCCGACGCAAGGAGGGCCGCAUUUAUUAGAUCCCAAACUCAAUACGCUUCGGCGGUAUCGAUGAUUCAUAAUAACUUCACGAACCGGGGCAACCUGGUGGUUCAUUCAAAUUUCUGCCCUAUCAAGUUUCGAUUGUAAGGUAGUGGCUUACAAUGCUGGUGACGGGUAACGGAGAAUUAGGGUUCGGUUCCGGAGAGGGCGCCUGAGAGAUGGCGACCACUUCUAAGGAAGGCAGCAGGCGCGCAAAUUACCCAAUCCUGAUACAGGGAGGUAGUGACGAAAAAUAACAAUGCUUAGCCCUUCGGGUUGAGCAAUUGGAAUGAGAACAAUUUAAAACCCUUAACGAGGAUCGAUU